GCGGAGGAAAGUCCUACAAAAGGGGAAAAAGAAAGCAGACGCAGGAAGGCGUUAGCAAGAGAAGCAGACUGACUUUCACUUCACAAAAGGACUUGUUUUUAGUACAAUCGCUCCAUCACUUACGUCCCAGCCUACGCUGAUGCGAGCUUGCGGCAGCACCGGUGAAGACGGUUCCGGCUCGAACGGGGCAAUGCCUUGCCGUGCCAUGAGCGCUACGAUCAGCGUGGCCGUCAGCAAGCCGCCCAAGACACCGAGCAACA